CGGUGGCUUCGUGGUUGAGCGGUGGAGUUGAGCUCGCCUCAACGGGGAGUAGGAAACCGGCGAGUUUCCGAACCUCGGUGAAAAAUCUCGUCUCCUUGUCUCAUUUGAUCGUCGCAUUUACAUUUGUGCAAAUUUACUUUUCUAGAAACAAACUAGAUAUCAUAUCACCCUAGGAUUGCUAAACAUUGACAUAGGAGUGUGAUUUACUUUCUUAGAGAUAUAGUUGAGCCACAAUCACCCUAGGUUUGCAAAACAUAACUUAGUUGCUUAGUUAGAGUUGACCCUCACCAAGCCUAGCGACUUAGGUUAGUUUUGAUUAGGUGUCAUUUAGUUUUAAAUCGCCUAUUCACCACACUCUAGUCGACAUCUCGAUCCUACAAGUUGUAUCAGAGCUUGGUCUCUCUUGAUUGGGCUUCACCGCCUAGAGAGAAGAUGUCGAACGAGGUGAACCAUGUAGGGAAGGCUCCCAUGUUUAAUGGCACAAACUAUUCCACUUGGAAAAUUAAAAUGUCUACUCACCUCAAAGCUAUGAGCUUCCAUAUUUGGAGUAUUGUUGAUGUAGGUUUUGCUAUCACCGGCAAGCCCUUGACGGAGAUUGAUCACCGCAACCUCCAACUCAAUGCCCAAGCCAUGAAUGCUUUGUUCAACUCUUUGAGCCAAGAGGAGUUUGAUAGAGUGAGCAACCUUGAGACCGCAUAUGAGAUUUGGAACAAGUUGGCGGAGAUCCAUGAGGGCACGAGUGAGUAUAAGGAUGCCAAGCUUCAUUUCCUCAAGAUCCAAUAUGAGACAUUCUCCAUGUUGCCUCAUGAGAGUGUGAAUGACAUGUAUGGAAGGCUCAAUGUCAUUGUGAAUGAUCUCAAGGGGCUUGGGACAAACUACACCGAUCUUGAGGUUGCCCAAAAGAUGCUUAGGGCUCUACCGGAGAAGUAUGAGACCCUUGUCACCAUGCUCAUCAACUCCGACAUGUCAAUGAUGACACCCGCAAGCCUCUUGGGGAAGAUCAACACCAAUGACAUGUACAAGUUGAAGAAGAAGGAGAUGGAGGAAGCCUCACCUUCCAAGAAGUGCAUUGCUCUCCAAGCCGAAGUUGAAGAUAAGGGCAAGGGCAAGGUGAAUGAAGCCAAUGAGGACUUGGAGGAAGAGAUUGCCCUUCUUGCUAGAAGGUUCAAUGAUCUCUUGGGAAGGAGAAAGGAGAGAGGAAGGGGCUCCAACUCCAAUAGGAGAAGAAAUAGAAGACCCAACAAGACUCUCUCCAACUUGAGGUGCUUUGAGUGUGGUGAGAAGGGACACUUUGCUUCCAAGUGCCCUUCCAAGGAUGAUGAUGGAGACAAGUCAUGCAAGAAGAAGAGUGGAGGCUACAAGCUCAUGAAGAAGCUCAAGAAGGAAGGCAAGAAGAUUGAGGCCUUCAUCGGGGAAUGGGACUCAAAUGAGGAGAGCUCCGCCUCAUCCGGGUCCGAGGAAGAAGGUGGUGAUGAUGCAAGCUCCAAAAAGAAGAAGAUGGCCGUUGUUGCCAUCAAGGAGGCUCUAUCACUCUUCGCUCCACUUUGUCUCAUGGCAAAGGGCUCCUCUAAGGUAACAUCUCUUAGUGAUAAUGAGAGUGAUGAUGAUUGUGAUGAUGUUUCCUAUGAUGAGCUUGUGAGUAUGUUUGAGGAGCUCCAUGCUUAUAGUGAGAAGGAGAUUGUCAAGUUCAAGGCCCUAAAGAAGGAUCAUGCUUCUUUGGAGGUCUUGUAUGAGGAGCUAAAGACUUCUCAUGAGAGACUCACCAUUUCUCAUGAGAAGCUUAAGGAAGCUCAUGACAACCUCCUUUCCACUACUCAACAUGGAGCUCUCAUUGAUGUUGGCAUAUCUUGUGAUUUGCUUGAUGAUAGUGCUACUUGCCAUAUUGCUCAUGUUGCAUCAUCUAGCAUUUCUAUCUCUUGUGAUGAUCUUGUGGAUAUGUCUAGCUCUAGCUCUUGUAUUUCUAUCUGUGAUGCCUCACUUGUUGUUGAGAACAAUGAGCUUAAGGAGCAAGUGGCUAAGCUCAACAAGAGCUUGGAGAGGUGCUUCAAGGGUAAGAACACUCUUGACAAGAUUUUGAGUGAGCAACGGUGCAUCCUUAACAAGGAGGGACUUGGAUUCAUUCCAAAGAAGGGUAAGAAACCUUCUAACCGUGCCACUCGUUUUGUCAAGAGCAAUGGUAAGUAUUGCUCCAAGUGUCGUGAGGUUGGGCAUUUGGUGAAUGAUUGCCCCGGUGGUAAGCCUCCUAAGACAUGCAUGUUUGAUUCUCAUUAUAUGAUUAGGAAGGCUCAUGAUGGUAGCAUUGUUGCUAGAUAUGUGGGUUCCCCUAUACUCGGUGGUAAAAAGAAUGCCAUUUGGGUGCCCAAAGCUUUGGUCUCUAACCUUCAAGGACCCAAACAAGUUUGGGUACCUAAAAGAGCUUGAUCUUCUUUUGUAGGUGAACUACCACACCGGUGGGAGCCAUUGGGUGCUUGAUAGUGGAUGCACUCAACACAUGACUGGUGAUAGGGCUAUGUUCACCACAUUUGAAGUAGGAGGGAAUGAACAAGAGAAAGUGACAUUUGGAGACAAUAGCAAAGGAAAGGUAAUUAGGUUAGGUAAAAUUGCUAUCUCCAAUGAUUUGUCAAUUGACAAUGUCUCUCUUUGUAAAUCUCUAAAUUUUAAUUUGCUUUCGGUUGCUCAAAUUUGUGAUCUUGGCUUGUCAUGUGCUUUCUUCCCGCAAGAAGUUAUUGUUUCUAGCCUUCUUGACAAGUCUUGUGUGUUCAAAGGUUUUAGAUAUGGAAAUCUUUAUUUGGUUGAUUUCAAUUCUAGUGAAGCAAAUUUGAAAACUUGUUUAGUUGCAAAAACUUCUUUGGGUUGCCUUUGGCAUAGAAGGCUAGCCCAUGUUGGCAUGAAUCAAUUGAGCAAACUUUCAAAACGUGAUCUAGUUGUGGGCUUGAAAGAUGUGAAGUUUGAGAAAGAUAAGCUUUGUAGUGCUUGUCAAGUCGGCAAGCAAGUUGCUACUAAGAGUAUCAUGUCCACAUCUAGACCAUUGGAGCUCGUGCAUAUGGAUUUGUUUGGCCCAACAACCUAUAAGAGCAUUGGUGGUAAUAAUCAUUGUCUUGUGAUUGUUGAUGAUUAUUCUCGCUAUACUUGGGUGUUCUUUUUGUAUGAUAAGUCUAUUGUUGCCGAGCUUUUCAAAAAGUUUGCAAAAAGGGCCCAAAAUGAAUUUAGUUGCACUCUUGUGAAAAUUAGAAGUGACAAUGGUUCCGAGUUUAAGAAUACCAAUAUCGAGGACUAUUGUGAUGAUCUUGGCAUUAAACACGAACUUUCCGCUACCUACUCACCUCAACAAAAUGGUGUAGUGGAGAGGAAAAAUCGUACAUUGAUUGAGAUGGCAAGGACUAUGCUUGAUGAAUAUGGUGUUUCCGAUUCUUUUGGGGCGGAAGCCAUAAACACCGCUUGCCAUGCAACCAAUAGGCUUUAUUUGCAUAUUCUCUUGAAAAAGACUUUCUAUGAGCUAAUUGUUGGAAGGAAGCCAAAUGUUGCCUAUUUUCAAGUUUUUGGUUGCAAGUGUUAUAUUUACCGAAAGGGUGUUAGACUAACCAAAUUUGAAAGUCGGUGUGAUGAAGGGUUUCUUCUAGGUUAUGCCUCAAAUAGCAAGGCAUACCGGGUCUACAACAAGAACAAAGGUAUUGUGGAAGAAACCGCCGAUGUUCAAUUUGAUGAGACUAAUGGCUCCCAAGAGGGGCACGAGAAUUUGGAUGAUGUAGGUGAUGAAGGCUUGAUGAGAACCAUGAAGAAUAUGUCAAUUGGAGAUGUCAAGCCUAUUGAAGUGGAAGACAAGCCAUCCACCUCCACUCAAGAUGAGCCAUCUACUUCCGCUAUGCCAAGUCAAGCUCAAGUUGAAGUGGAGGAGGAGAAGGUACAAGAUCCACCUAUGCCACCAAGGAUACACACCGCUCUUUCCAAGGAUCACCCAAUUGACCAAGUGUUGGGUGACAUUAGUAAGGGUGUUCAAACUCGAUCUCGUGUCGCUUCGAUUUGUGAACAUUACUCGUUUGUUUCUUGUCUUGAGCCAAAACAUGUAGAUGAAGCUCUUUGUGAUCCGGAUUGGAUGAAUGCUAUGCAUGAAGAGCUCAACAACUUUGCAAGAAACAAGGUGUGGACUUUGGUUGAAAGACCUAGAGACCACAAUGUCAUAGGGACAAAGUGGGUAUUUAGGAACAAACAAGAUGAGAACGGGUUGGUGGUGAGAAACAAGGCAAGGUUGGUGGCACAAGGUUUCACAAAAGUUGAAGGUUUGGACUUUGGUGAAACUUUUGCCCCCGUGGCAAGACUUGAGGCUAUUCGCAUCCUUCUUGCAUUUGCAUCAUGCUUUGAUAUAAAACUAUUUCAAAUGGAUGUGAAAAGUGCUUUUCUAAAUGGUGAAAUUGCUGAACUUGUCUUUGUUGAACAACCUCCCGGUUUUGAAGAUUCUAAAUAUCCUAACCAUGUUUACAAACUCUCAAAAGCUCUUUAUGGUUUAAAACAAGCUCCUAGGGCUUGGUAUGAAAGAUUGAGAUAUUUUCUUUUGUCAAAGGAUUUCAAAAUUGGAAAAGUUGACACCACCCUUUUUACAAAAAUCAUUGAUGAUGAUUUCUUUGUGUGCCAAAUUUAUGUUGAUGACAUCAUAUUCGGUUCUACUAAUGAGGUAUUUUGCAAGAAAUUUGGUGAUAUGAUGUCGAGGGAAUUUGAGAUGUCCAUGAUUGGAGAGUUGAGCUUCUUCCUUGGACUUCAAAUCAAGCAACUCAAGGAUGGGACGUUCGUGAGCCAAACCAAGUACAUCAAGGAUCUACUCAAGAGGUUUGGCUUGGAGGAUGCGAAGCCCAUCAAGACACCUAUGGCAACCAACGGGCAUCUCGACCUUGAUGAGGGAGGUAAACCGGUAGAUUUAAAGCUUUAUCGUUCUAUGAUUGGUAGCUUGCUUUACCUUACCGCAUCUAGGCCGGAUAUCAUGUUUAGUGUUUGCACGUGUGCACGGUUUCAAGCCGCUCCUAAGGAGUGUCACUUAGUGGCCGUGAAAAGGAUUCUAAGAUAUUUAAAGUAUUCCUCUACUAUUGGCUUGUGGUACCCAAAAGGUGCUAAAUUUAAGCUUGCUGGCUAUUCCGAUUCGGAUUAUGCCGGUUGCAAAGUGGAUAGAAAGAGCACAUCCGGUAGUUGCCAAAUGCUUGGUAGAUCCCUUGUGUCAUGGUCAUCCAAGAAACAAAACUCCGUAGCCCUCUCCACCGCCGAGGCGGAAUAUGUUUCGGCAGGUAGUUGUUGUGCCCAAUUGCUUUGGAUGAAACAAACCUUGUUGGACUAUGGCAUAUCUUUCACCAAAACCUCACUCCUAUGUGACAAUGAUAGUGCCAUAAAGAUAGCCAAUAACCCAGUCUAACAUUCUAGAACCAAGCAUAUUGACAUACGCCAUCACUUCUUAAGAGAUCAUGUUGCCAAGUGUGACAUAGUCAUUAGCCACAUAAGAACCGAGGAUCAACUAGCCGACAUUUUUACCAAGCCUCUUGAUGAAACCCGCUUUUGCAAGUUGAGGAAUGAGUUAAAUGUCAUAGACUUCUCUAAUAUGGCUUGAGAUGGUGCACCAUGGUUGCUUCUUUUGCAUAUUGUAUAUUUGCUCCUAUUUGUUCUUAUGCUUUGGAUUUAUUGUCAUUUGGUUCUUCAUUGCGAAAAUGGAGCAUGUCACAUUAAGGAGGAGUCUUGCACUCUUGCAUGUGUUCCACUUCCUUUUAUAUGUGAGCAAAUCAACUAAAAGUGCUAGUAGUGUUUUCAAAAUGACCAAGUCAACAUAAGUCAAAACUUCUGCAAAAUCGAUGCAUUUUGAAAACUAUCUCUUGGAAAAUGUUUUAAAAGGUUCCCUAUAUGUUUUCCAAGCCUCACAUUGCAAGAAAAAUGAUUUUUGAAUGAAAAUGCCAUUUUGGCCCUCUUUUGAAGAAACUAGAUUCUUAGUUUUGGAUAAAAUGAGAUUUAUCCCCAAAAUGAGAUUGAGAAGGAAUUUGAGGAAAGUUUCAAAACAAAGUUGGUAGAGGAGAAGUUUUGAAAUGUUUUUGGUGUUCAAACCUAUUUCAAAAACCAAAUCAUUCAAAAGUUAUUUGAAAAUCAAAUUCGCCCAAAAACCCCUAUAGACCAUAAAAGGUCACCUCCUAGCGCUCAAGUGAGUUUUGUUGCAAAUCUUCAUAAUUUUCAAAUGUUAUGAAUGGUUGGCAAUAUUUUAACUCACACAUUUCAAAAUUGCUCCAAAAAUCAAUUUUUUUAUUGAAUUUUAUUGUGUGGGGGUAGCCGAACUGUGCAAGGGCUAUGCACAGUCGGCUGGGGGCCAGGCGGUCUGACCGGUGCUAUAUGCACGGUCUGAUCGGCCUGAUGGCGGCGGUCUGACCGGCCACUUGGGCCCGGUCUGACCGGCCGCACCCUUGAGGUCUGACCGGCCGAUAAUAGCCGGUCUGACCGGCCAGGGAUAGUGGGCCCAGGAAUCUUUCUUUUUCUUCUCUCUUCUUCCCCUACCUGACUCCAUCUCCUCCCAUUCAGCUUUCUUCUUCCCCAACUCGAAAAAACACCUCCUCUCUCUUUUCCCAAACCCUAGUCACCUCCCUCUACCAAAUUCCCUCGGUCUGACCGUGGAUUUCUCUCCGGUUACACCGUAAGUGAUUCUCCUCCGCUUCCUCUCUCUAUUCCAUGGAUUGGUUUGUGUUUUUGUUGAAGUUUUUGAUCCAUGGCAUGGAACCCUAGGUGAAGCACGAGGUGUUCUUCGAUUUGCACCAAUAGUGGGUAGUUUCUUGGUGUGAUUCAACUCCUUCAACCGGUAAAUCACUCUCCCUCUUGCGCAUUAUCUCAAAUCGGUCUAUUUCAAUCUCUAGGGUUUUGGGUAGUUUCCCCCAUUAUUCCAAUCUUGAUGAAAUAGGCCAUACCCUUUGAUGUUCAAGUUCCAAACUUGUGCAAUAUUGUUCUAGCAAUAUUUUAGACUCAUUUGUGUGAUUGUUGGAAGGAUUUGGUUGUGCUCCUGUCAGUGGCGGUCUGAUCGGCAGGCGGUCUGACCGGCACCAAAGCGGCGGUCUGACCGGCCUAGGGCAGGCGGUCUGACCGGCUAGGGGCCGUCGGUUUGACUGACUUGACGCCGGCGGUCUGACAGUCCCUGGCCCCCGGUCUGACCGCCCCUGACAGGCAGCACCCCCAUUCCUUCCUCUUCACUAUGUGGCUUCUAAAAUUGUUGCUUAUCCAUCCUUUGCUCCUUGUUUUUCAGCUAUGCCUCCCCGCACUCGCCAUGGUCGUCGUGAGCCCAUGCCCAAUCCCGUCAAUGAGAAUGAGGAAUCAAGCGGAGAUGAGUAUGUUCAAAGUGAUGAUGACAAUAUGGAAAAUGUUGAGGGUGAUGAGAUGGAAGUAAGUGAUGAUGGUGAUGACAAUGGGAGUGGCAAUGGUGAAGAUGAUGAGGCAAGUGAUGAUGGGAGUCCUCUCGAUUCCACCAUCCAAUUUGUGUUUAAUUUGAGGAAUGCUCAACAAUACACUAUCCUCCGUCAUCAUGAUCAAUUCCGGAGGCCUAACGAUUGUAAUGAUCCAAGAUUUCAUACCCAGUUCCAAAAGUCCGUGUAUGAACAAGUGUAUGCCAACAAAGCCUUCGCCGAACACAAGUGGAUUUCUUGGAGGCACAUUGGUGAGACACCGGAGUUUGAAGAUUUGCAAGAGAUGUUCUGGACCGUUGGGAUUGAUAGAAUUGUCACCAUGAAGCAAUCUUUUGAUGAAGAUCUCAUCCGGCAAUUCUAUGCCACCGUAUGGGUGUCCGGCGAUUGUGAUGCAAUGAAGUGGAUGUCGGGGACCCUUCAAUGCUCUAUCAACCGCCGUGAAUUCAAGGAGCUCUUGCACAUUCGCUUCAACAAUGGGGAUGACCUUCAUGAUGAGCACACCCACAACCCCUUCCCCAUUGAUCACUUUUCUCAGAUUUAUGAAGACGGGGGAAGGCACACAUAUGGAAAGGUGGCGGGUUAGAGGGCUCUCCCAAGUGUGAUCAACCACAUAGUAAGGGCCACCAUCCUCCCAAGAUGCGGCAACAAUGAUGACAUACGCGGAGUUGCUUGGCAUGUCAUUGAUGCCAUUUUGGAUGGUCGUCGGUUUGAUGUUAUCAACCUUAUGAUGAAGGAGAUUGCCAUCUCAAAGGGGACUAUUGGACAAGGAAUCUAUUAUGCUCCCUACAUAAUGAGGUUGAUUCAAAGCAAGUUGGGACAAAUUGGUCACAAUUUAAAAGAACAUAAGGAGUACAAGCCUCGUCUCCAACUCUCCUCCCCUAAAGCUCCUCGUGUGCGCCAACCAACAUUUGAUCAAGGUGCAAGCUCAAGUGCAGCCCCCCCUCCUCCUCAUGGGUCUGAUCCAAGUGCUUUUUUCCAUCCACAAUAUGCCUACUUUGGAAUGCAACCCAAUGAAUUCUUCAACCCGGUCCUUGGGGCUAUUAAUACCCUAAGUGAAAGCAUUCAACGCUUAUCCACCGGGCAUGAAGCAUUGCAUGAAGAUGUUCGUGGCUUGCGCACCGAUGUUGGCAACUUGAAUACUUCGGUGGGAAGAUUGCAUACUAGGGUGGGUGUAUUGGAUUCUUGAGUCCAAACCUUGGAGAGUACCCAAGCUUUUGGCUAUCAUCGUCGCCGUGAUGCUUCUCAUCCUUCCACUUCGGCGCGUCCUCCUUCUCCUCCGCAAGAGUGAAGACCUUUUUGGUGCUUGAUGCCAAAAGGGGGAGAAAAGUGUGUUUUAUGUUUUGUGGGUUGGGACUAGUAGUAGUGAGGUUAGUCACCUCAUAUUUAAUAGGUUAAGGAGGUUUGGACUAUAUUUUGUAUGGGUAUGGGCUAUUACUCUAUAUUGUGUGUUCUUUGUCGUUUUGUUAAACUCUCUAUGUCAUUUGGACCCUUCAUGGUCUUGUAAUAGCCUACAUUUAUUUGUGAGCACUUUAUGUGGUCUUGAUGUGAACUUGUGCUAUGAUGGAUGGUUGGUGUGACAUUGAUAUACUUGUGACCAUCUUAUGCAUUCGGUUGAUUCAUAUGUGAAGUUCACAUUAUAAUUUGCAUAUGUGUUGUGCUAUGUUGAAUUGUGAAAUUGAAAUGUGCAUUGGCUCCAUAUUUGCUAUUUGUGUUUGUUAUCCAUAUGUUUAGGGGGAGCUUUUGCUUGUCAAUGCAAUAUAUGUCCAUGUGCUCUAUGUUUGAUUAUAUAUAUUUGUGGUGUUCGUCAUCAAUUACCAAAAAGGGGGAGAUUGAAGCAUCUAGGCCCCCGGUGUUAAUUUUGGUAAUUAAUGACAAGCGCUAAUUGUGGACUAACCGUUGUCUUUGAGCUAUACAUUUUAAGUCAGGUCCACGUUAUAUGUGCGCAUGGAUGAUUAUCGAUGGAUUAAAAUUGACGGCGCAAAGCAAAGAGAAAGAAGACGGUAAAACUAGUGCUUUAAUUUAGAAUUGAUCGAGGUGUAGGGCGAUCAAAAUUGCUAGUUUAUUUUCUAGUUUCGCCGUACUAUUAAGAGGGGUAAUUACCUAGCAAAGAGAUGAUUGAAUUACCACAUUAGGUCAUUGCAUUUUCAUUUGUGCUCUCUUUUUCAUCACACGCACAUUCACUUGCAAAUUCACUGGGUUCGGCCUGACCAGGGGGCGGUCAGACCGGCCACUUGGGCCACUUGGCCGGUCUGACCGGCGUGCCCUGGCCGGUCUGACCGACCCCAAGCGGGCGGUCUGACCGGCGCAUAAGGCCGGUCUGACCGGCGGCACUUGCCCGAUCAGACCGGCCCCCUGGAGGCCGAGAUGAUGCUGCUCGGGAUGGCCGAAACAGAGCCGACGGAGCCGUAGUCGGUCUGACCGAGCCGAGGCCGGUCUGACUGCCCACUCAACUCCGGUCUGACCGGCCAGGCCGAUGGGGCCCUCUGACAGCACUUCAACGGCUAGUUUUCUAGCCAUUGCAGAGUAGCACGGUCUGACCGGCCACAUACCUCCGGUCAAACAGGCAGAGCACAAAGUUGGGGGAUUUCGCCCCCAACAGCUAGUUUUGGCGGGUGGGAGUAUAAAUACUCCCCCACCAGCAGCAAGGGGACUCUCUUGGCACCCAAUUCAAUUGCAUACAUCCCUUGCACCUCUCUCACACCCACUUGAGCUUUGUGUUCAUCCAUCUAGUGUGUUAAAGGGUUGAUUAGCCAAGAGUCAAGUGCAUUGCUUCCAUUUGUAGAGCUAGUGUGGCACUUGAUUGAUCAUCUCCACGCCGGGUCAUUGCUUGUUACUCUUGGAGGUUGCCGCCUCCUAGACGGCUUGUGGAGGAGUUGUCCGGUGACCUCUCCGAGAAAAUUGUGGAGGAGGCCCGGCGCCGGUUUGUGAGUGGUUUGGAGUUCACCACCUUCGGAGUGAAGAAAGAACUACCCUAGUGAUCGAGGCUUGGGUAGUCCUCUCCGUGGGCCGGCUCCCGCCUUGCCCACCCCUUGAUGAAGGGGGCGUGCGGUGGCUUCGUGGUUGAGCGGUGGAGUUGGGCUCGCCUCAACGAGGAGUAGGAAACCGGCGAGUUUCCGAACCUCGGUGAAAAAUCUCUUGUCUCCUUGUCUCAUUUGAUUGUCGCAUUUACAUUUGUGCAAAUUUACUUUUCUAGAAACAAACUAGAGAUCAUAUCACCCUAGGAUUGCUAAACAUUGACAUAGGAGUGUGAUUUACUUUCCUAGAGAUAUAGUUGAGCCACAAUCACCCUAGGUUUGCAAAACAUAACUUAGUUGCUUAGUUAGAGUUGACCCUCACCAAGCCUAGCAACUUAGGUUAGUUUUGAUUAGGUGUCAUUUAGUUUUAAAUCGCCUAUUCACCCCCCC
rnacentral:lncRNA from 1 species